CUCAUACUCCCUCUGUCCGGAAAUACUUGUCAUUGAAAUGGAUGUAUCUAGAUGUAUUUUAGUUCUAGAUACAUCCAUUUUCAUCCAUUUUGAUGACAAGUAAUUCUGGACAGAGGGAGUAUUAG
rnacentral:pre_miRNA from 1 species